rnacentral:rRNA from 1 species
UACAGAGGUGGCAAGCGUUGUUCGGAAUUACUGGGCGUAAAGGGCGCGUAGGCGGUCCCGUAAGUUCCGCGUGAAAUCCCCCGGCUCAACCGGGGAAUGGCGCGGAAAACUGCGGGGCUUGAGUUCGGGAGAGGGAAGCGGAAUUCCGGGUGUAGCGGUGAAAUGCGCAGAUAUCAGGAGGAACACCGGUGGCGAAGGCGGGUCUCUGGGCCGAUAUUGACGCUGAGGAGCGAAAGCGUGGGGAGCGAACAGG